GACGAACGCUGGCGGCGUGCUUAACACAUGCAAGUCGAACGGAAAGGCCCUGCUUUUGUGGGGUGCUCGAGUGGCGAACGGGUGAGUAACACGUGAGUAACCUGCCCUUGACUUUGGGAUAACUUCAGGAAACUGGGGCUAAUACCGGAUAGGAGCUCCUGCUGCAUGGUGGGGGUUGGAAAGUUUCGGCGGUUGGGGAUGGACUCGCGGCUUAUCAGCUUGUUGGUGGGGUAGUGGCUUACCAAGGCUUUGACGGGUAGCCGGCCUGAGAGGGUGACCGGCCACAUUGGGACUGAGAUACGGCCCAGACUCCUACGGGAGGCAGCAGUGGGGAAUAUUGCACAAUGGGCGGAGGCCUGAUGCAGCAACGCCGCGUGCGGGAUGACGGCCUUCGGGUUGUAAACCGCUUUCGCCUGUGACGAAGCGUGAGUGACGGUAAUGGGUAAAGAAGCACCGGCUAACUACGUGCCAGCAGCCGCGGUGAUACGUAGGGUGCGAGCGUUGUCCGGAUUUAUUGGGCGUAAAGGGCUCGUAGGUGGUUGAUCGCGUCGGAAGUGUAAUCUUGGGGCUUAACCCUGAGCGUGCUUUCGAUACGGGUUGACUUGAGGAAGGUAGGGGAGAAUGGAAUUCCUGGUGGAGCGGUGGAAUGCGCAGAUAUCAGGAGGAACACCAGUGGCGAAGGCGGUUCUCUGGGCCUUUCCUGACGCUGAGGAGCGAAAGCGUGGGGAGCGAACAGGCUUAGAUACCCUGGUAGUCCACGCUGUAAACGGUGGGUACUAGGUGUGGGGUCCAUUCCACGGGUUCCGUGCCGUAGCUAACGCUUUAAGUACCCCGCCUGGGGAGUACGGCCGCAAGGCUAAAACUCAAAGGAAUUGACGGGGCCCCGCACAAGCGGCGGAGCAUGCGGAUUAAUUCGAUGCAACGCGUAGAACCUUACCUGGGUUUGACAUGGAUCGGGAGCGCUCAGAGAUGGGUGUGCCUCUUUUGGGGUCGGUUCACAGGUGGUGCAUGGCUGUCGUCAGCUCGUGUCGUGAGAUGUUGGGUUAAGUCCCGCAACGAGCGCAACCCUUGUUCACUGUUGCCAGCACGUUAUGGUGGGGACUCAGUGGAGACCGCCGGGGUCAACUCGGAGGAAGGUGGGGAUGACGUCAAGUCAUCAUGCCCCUUAUGUCCAGGGCUUCACGCAUGCUACAAUGGCUGGUACAGAGAGUGGCGAGCCUGUGAGGGUGAGCGAAUCUCGGAAAGCCGGUCUCAGUUCGGAUUGGGGUCUGCAACUCGACCUCAUGAAGUCGGAGUCGCUAGUAAUCGCAGAUCAGCAACGCUGCGGUGAAUAAGUUCCCGGGGCU
rnacentral:rRNA from 1 species